GUCACUUUGGCGGAGUGGUUAACGCGCUGCCCUGCUAAUUUCCAGUUAGCGGUUCAGGCAGUUCCCUCGGGAGCGUAGGUUCGAAUCCUACAGGUGACG
rnacentral:tRNA from 1 species